rnacentral:rRNA from 1 species
GGGUUGUGAGGUUAAGCGACUAAGCGUACACGGUGGAUGCCCUGGCAGUCAGAGGCGAUGAAGGACGUGCUAAUCUGCGAUAAGCGUCGGUAAGGUGAUAUGAACCGUUAUAACCGGCGAUUUCCGAAUGGGGAAACCCAGUGUGUUUCGACACACUAUCAUUAACUGAAUCCAUAGGUUAAUGAGGCGAACCGGGGGAACUGAAACAUCUAAGUACCCCGAGGAAAAGAAAUCAACCGAGAUUCCCCCAGUAGCGGCGAGCGAACGGGGAGCAGCCCAGAGCCUGAAUCAGUGUGUGUGUUAGUGGAAGCGUCUGGAAAGGCGCGCGAUACAGGGUGACAGCCCCGUACACAAAAAUGCACAUACUGUGAGCUCGAUGAGUAGGGCGGGACACGUGGUAUCCUGUCUGAAUAUGGGGGGACCAUCCUCCAAGGCUAAAUACUCCUGACUGACCGAUAGUGAACCAGUACCGUGAGGGAAAGGCGAAAAGAACCCCGGCGAGGGGAGUGAAAAAGAACCUGAAACCGUGUACGUACAAGCAGUGGGAGCACGCUUCGGCGUGUGACUGCGUACCUUUUGUAUAAUGGGUCAGCGACUUAUAUUCUGUAGCAAGGUUAACCGAAUAGGGGAGCCGAAGGGAAACCGAGUCUUAACUGGGCGUUAAGUUGCAGGGUAUAGACCCGAAACCCGGUGAUCUAGCCAUGGGCAGGUUGAAGGUUGGGUAACACUAACUGGAGGACCGAACCGACUAAUGUUGAAAAAUUAGCGGAUGACUUGUGGCUGGGGGUGAAAGGCCAAUCAAACCGGGAGAUAGCUGGUUCUCCCCGAAAGCUAUUUAGGUAGCGCCUCGUGAAUUCAUCUCCGGGGGUAGAGCACUGUUUCGGCAAGGGGGUCAUCCCGACUUACCAACCCGAUGCAAACUGCGAAUACCGGAGAAUGUUAUCACGGGAGACACACGGCGGGUG